AAGUAUCGCAUUUUGCUACGUUCUUCAUCGAUGCGUGAGCCGAGAUAUCCGUUGCCGAGAGUCGUUUGUGAUUACAAAGAUGCCACGCCCCAUGAGCACACCGCGAACGGGACUUCAUGGGACAAGCAAUUCUUCAAUUUAAAGUUCCUUGGCACAUCCCGUGCCUUGGUUUUGUUACGUCAAAGCGACCACCAAGAUAACCCGUAAGGCCAACUAGGCAGGCACAUCAACGGUGUGCCAAGGACGAUCGAACUGAUGCUCGACGCAUCCUAGCAUGGUUGUUUUAACAUGUUCGCGGGUCGUUCUGCUUUGCAGGCUUCGACAAUGAUCCCUUCGCAGGUCACCUACGGAAACCCUGUUACGACUCUCU
rnacentral:misc_RNA from 1 species